rnacentral:rRNA from 1 species
GAUGAACGCUGGCGGCGUGCCUAAUACAUGCAAGUCGAGCGAACAGACGAGGAGCUUGCUCCUCUGACGUUAGCGGCGGACGGGUGAGUAACACGUGGAUAACCUACCUAUAAGACUGGGAUAACUUCGGGAAACCGGGGCUAAUACCGGAUAAUAUAUUGAACCGCAUGGUUCAAUAGUGAAAGACGGUUUUGCUGUCACUUAUAGAUGGAUCCGCGCCGCAUUAGCUAGUUGGUAAGGUAACGGCUUACCAAGGCGACGAUGCGUAGCCGACCUGAGAGGGGGAUCGGCCACACUGGAACUGAGACACGGUCCAGACUCCUACGGGAGGCAGCAGUAGGGAAUCUUCCGCAAUGGGCGAAAGCCUGACGGAGCAACGCCGCGUGAGUGAUGAAGGUCUUCGGAUCGUAAAACUCUGUUAUUAGGGAAGAACAAAUGUGUAAGUAACUAUGCACGUCUUGACGGUACCUAAUCAGAAAGCCACGGCUAACUACGUG